CGUUGCGAGUUGUGCGGCACCGUAAUAAAGGCGUCUCUUCGACGAAAAUGCAGGACGAUUUACCGAAGAGCGAGACGGUCGAUCAUCACGACGUUGAUGAAUGGAGAUACUCACGCACUGCUGAUCGCCACGAGCUAUUACGUACCGUUCAUGAUCAACUCAUACACUCUGUUUGUUCAAUCGGAAGGUGUGAUUGAUGCAAAGUGGUAUUAUCUUCAGUUGCAGCUUAUGACUGGCAUGUUUUAUAUCCAUUAUAUGUACCGCAUGCAGUAUUGUGAGAAUAUAUAAAGAAACUCGUGUGUAUUGACUACGAAGAAUCCGAUGAUAAACUUUCUUCGCUGUCUUUCAAUCUUCUUUACGUUUGGGAUUUCAAGGCAAAUAAAGGACACUCCAUUUCCCUGACUAAUUUGAAAGACAUGGUGAAGAAAAGGACACACUCGCUUUGUAUUAGGAAUGACAGCAUCGCAUAUGUCUACUUUAUGGUGAUAAAAAUAGAAACAAAGAAAAUAUAUAAAUACAAAUUGCUGUAUUUGCAUUUUCGGUUAAGAAAUAUGUUCUCUUAAGAUCCAAGAAAAUACGCUUUCUCAUAGUGAAAUUAGAACAAAAGUAAUAAUAUUUUUCAAAUAAUGUAUCAUGAAUCUAUUUUAAUAUAUUUAACACAAAAGGAUGUUCAGAAUGAUAAUCUUGAGAAAAAAAACUCUAGAGAAUCUAAAAAAAUUGAAAGGAUCAGCACAUGAAAGAA